ACAGUGUGUAUUUUUAAAUACCUUAUGAAUGAACACAUCAGGCAUUUGAGGAACAUUCAUCUCUCAAAUUUACUUAUUACCGUAGGCAUCUCAUAAAUUUUCAAAUAUUAGGCAUUAGAGGAACGGUCCUCUUCCAAUUUCAAAUAUUGAUACUAUAUACACCAUGUACACUGGAGGAACGUUCCUCUUCAAACUAUUGACACUGGAUUUACUAGUCUAAACACAACAUAUUUGAGGAACGUUCCUCAUCCAAUUUCAAAUAUUGAUACUAUAUACACUGGAGGAACGUUCCUCUUUCAACUUGACACUGUAUUUACAAGUUUUAACACACAAUAUCACAAACGUUCAUCAGUCAAUUUCAAUUGAUAAUACAUACUACAUGUAUAUAAACAGUACAUUUGAGGAACAUUCCUCUACCAAUUCCUAUCAAAACACUACUACCAUGAAUCUUAAUACAAUGAAUGUUCUUCUCCCCAUUUCAAAAUUUGACACUGGACUGGACAAACAUUCCUCUUCCAACUGUUGACAAUGGAUUCAUGUCGAAUACUCCUCUUCUGAUUUCAAAUGUUAUUAUAUAACUAUAUAUAUAAAUCAGAGUAUAAUUGGAUUUGAAGAAAGCUGUACACCCAGGUACUCCCUAACGUAAAAGAGUAGAUAAUCCUGUUGAUUUCAUAAAGUCAAAUUUCAAGGUUGAGACUAUUCUGACACAGAAAAAUAAUAUAUGCUUAAAAUUUUGGGAACCCUUUGCUUUACAGACAUCAAACUUAGUAUACUGGUACUCCCAAAGGAAUAAAGACCCCUACUGAUUUUGGGUUACAAGGUGAAAGCACAAGGCUCAAACUGAUCUAGAAAUAGAAAAGUAUUGUUUACUCAAUAUUGAAGUAACUUGAGAUUCUACUGUUUGAAAAAUAAUUUAAUGCACUAGAUCUGUAGUCCUCCUAAGAAAUAUAUGACAACUUUUAAUUUGGGGGUCAUAACUCGAUCACAAGAUCAAGUACGUGUCAUUCUUGACAAUUAAUAUUUUAGGAAAUCAUUUUUCACUCAAUUUUGUGAAAAGCCUCUUAUUAUUACAGACAUUAAACUCGUUGGUACCACUCCUUUAGGAGUAUACAUGAUCACAUUUUAUUUUGAAGUCACUUCUCUGGAUAUCAUAUAGGAAUGUAUAUCUAAUGCUGAAUAAAGAGUAAAUGUUUAUUUACAUUUUAAAUGAGAAAAAAGGGCAACUGUUUGAAUCGUGCAAGAGACAUAAAUCUACAACAAGGAAUUGAUCAAAAAAGUUAUACCAUUCCCCUGAUCCCCUGCAUUUACUAUUAUGAUAUAAAACUGUUGUAUACAGCAAUGCUUUCUUACACUAAAUUAAACAAUUUUCUUUAACAAUUGAAAUUUUAUGAUAUUUAUUAAAUGAAAAAAUCUUUCAGGAAAAGAAUCUUACCCUUAGCUUUUUUAGUAUAGUUCAUCCAAGAUUAAUUUAUGAAAAGUCAGUGCAUUGACCAGUAAAUUCUCUAUAAGUUGAACAUCCAUUGACAUUUGAAAAUCAUGCAUGUGUCUCUACUUACUUCAUCACGCAGUUUUUUGACCAAAACUAAUUAUAUAACUUUAUCACAGUAUAACACAGUAUAACACACAGAUAUAUCAAUGUCUAAUUUCUCCAAUUUCGAAUUCCCCUUCAAACGACAGUUGCAUUUAAAUGAUAGCUGUUCACAUGUGCAACUGCGACCCUUCCAUACAUAUUUGAAUGGAAACAUGUGGUGCCACUAACUGAAGAAAUGUCAAUCAAAACACUGCACACUGAUAAUCUUGGGUGUGUUAUCAGUCUUGGACACAUCCAUCUCUCAACCCUACCAAAAUGUUCACGAUUUCAAAUCAGAAGAUGAUUAUCACAUCGAAAGAUUGUUGAAUAAAACAGGAUGUUGCAGUUCUUCACAGUUAAGGAUUUAUUAAGGUAUAUAUGCAAAUAAUAUUAUUAUCAAUUUAUGAAAAUUCUUUGUAUGCUUUGUUUGCAUAAAAACUAAACUAAAAUAUUUUAUCAAUAACUUAGUCAGAGUUGAUCAAUCCUGCUGAAAUAUAAGCUGUCAGACACUUCCAAAUACCAGUAAAUUAAAAUGAGAAAUUUACUUUAAUUUUAGACAAAAUGAUAUGCCCUGGAUUUCAAUGUAAAAGAAAACGAAUACCCUCAUGACACCACUUGCAGCAACAUUUCAGAGAAAUGAUUAAAGUGUCGUAAACAAAUCAAAAGAUGACACCCAAGAAACUUGUUGAGGCUGUUUUACUUUGACUGAUGAAAAAAUGCUAUGAACCUUUGGAGACCAAGGAAUUGGAAUCGUCUCUAUUAUGAGGGAAAGAUGUAACUGAGAGAGAAACAUGGUUGACCUUCAUCACAACUUUGGUUUAAUUUCGUGGUAGAAAGGAAAAAUACUGUGGGUAUUAACCUGUUAACCAAGACAUUGUAAUAUGUGAUCACACUGCCAUUCAGUGAAAAAGCCCUUUGAGUUGAUACAUGAACACUGCACAUUGCACAUGCUUGUUCCGAAGUGGAAAAAUUUGUUUGUUCCUGUACCUAGUUUAUAUUAUGCUUUAAGAAAGCCUUAAUUUAUAAAAUGACAAAAUGAUUUUUCAUAUAUAUUUUGUAGAGUGUGUACAGAUAAAAAAUGUUUCUAUGAAUAUGUACUGCAUUUCAUAUAAAAGAGAGAAAUUUUCCCAAAUUCUUCAUGUACGAUAAAAACUAAUAUAAUAUCACAAAACACAUGAUAAUGUUAGAGAGGAACGUUCCUUUAAAGAUAUUUUUAAGUGGGCUUUGCAAUGUAUCAACAGAUAUUCAUUACAAGACAGAGGAACGUUCCUCAAAUGCACGGGUUGCAAGCUUCAUGAGGUAUAA